rnacentral:rRNA from 1 species
AGAGUUUGAUCAUGGCUCAGAACGUACGCUGGCGGCACGCCUAACACAUGCAAGUCGAACGAAGUAGCAAUACUUAGUGGCAGACGGGUGAGUAACAUGUAGGUAUCUGCCCUUUGGCCUGGAAUAACACGAGGAAACUUGUGCUAAUACCGGAUAAGUCUUUACGGAGAAAGCUUUAUGCACCAUUGGAUGAGCCUGCACUUGAUUAGUUUGUUGGUGGGGUAAUGGCCUACCAAGACUGUGAUCAAUAGCUGAUUUGAGAGGAUGAUCAGCCACAUUGGGACUGAGACACGGCCCAAACUCCUACGGGAGGCAGCAGUGGGGAAUCUUGCACAAUGGAGGAAACUCUGAUGCAGCGAUGCCGCGUGAGUGAAGAAGGCCUUUGGGUUGUAAAGCUCUUUCGUCGGGGAAGAAAAUGACUGUACCCGAAUAAGAAGGUCCGGCUAACUUCGUGCCAGCAGCCGCGGUAAUACGAAGGGACCUAGCGUAGUUCGGAAUUACUGGGCUUAAAGAGUUCGUAGGUGGUUGAAAAAGUUGGUGGUGAAAUCCCAGAGCUUAACUCUGGAACUGCCAUCAAAACUUUUCAGCUAGAGUGUGAUAGAGGAAAGCAGAAUUUCUAGUGUAGAGGUGAAAUUCGUAGAUAUUAGAAAGAAUACCAAUUGCGAAGGCAGCUUUCUGGAUCACAACUGACGCUGAGGAACGAAAGCAUGGGUAGCGAAGAGGAUUAGAUACCCUCGUAGUCCAUGCCGUAAACGAUGUGUGUUAGACGUUGGAAAUUUAUUUUCAGUGUCGCAGCGAAAGCGAUAAACACACCGCCUGGGGAGUACGACCGCAAGGUUAAAACUCAAAUGAAUUGACGGGGACCCGCACAAGUAGUGGAGCAUGUGGUUUAAUUCGAAGAUACGCGCAGAACCUUACCAACACUUGACAUGUUCGUCGCGACUUUAAGAGAUUAAAGUUUUCGGUUCGGCCGGACGAAACACAGGUGCUGCAUGGCUGUCGUCAGCUCGUGUCGUGAGAUGUUGGGUUAAGUCCCGCAACGAGCGCAACCCUCACUUUUAGUUGCCAUCAUUUAGUUGGGCACUCUGAAAGAACUGCCAGUGAUAAGCUGGAGGAAGGUGGGGAUGACGUCAAGUCCUCAUGGCCCUUACGUGUUGGGCUACACACGUGCUACAAUGGUAUCUACAACAGGAAGCAAAACUGCGAGGUUAAGCAAAUCCUUAAAAGAUACCUCAGUUCGGAUUGCACUCUGCAACUCGAGUGCAUGAAGCUGGAAUUACUAGUAAUCGUGGAUCAGCGUGCCACGGUGAAUGCGUUCCCGGGUCUUGUACACACCGCCCGUCACACCAUGGGAGUUGGUUCUACCUUAAGGCAAGGUUUCAAACCCUUGACCACGGUAUAGUCAGCGACUGGGGUGAAGUCAUAACAAGGUAACCGUA